CUUGGAGGUAUCAGAAGUGAGAAUGCUGACAUGAGUAGCGAUAAAGAGGGUGAGAGACCCUCUCGCCGAAAGACCAAGGGUUCCUGCGUAAAGCUAAUCUGCGCAGGGUUAGUCGGCCCCUAAGGCGAGGGCGAAAGCCGUAGUCGAUGGGAAACAGGUUAAUAUUCCUGUACCUGGAGGUAGUGACGAAUCCCGUGUGUUGUUUACCCUUAUUGGAUUGGGUAGGCCGCGAAGGGGUUCCAGGAAAUAGCUCCUCCAUUAUAGACCGUACCCCAAACCGACACAG
rnacentral:rRNA from 1 species